AUUGAACGCUGGCGGCAGGCCUAACACAUGCAAGUCGAGCGGAGCGGCGGACGGGUGAGUGAUGCCUAGGAAGCUGCCUGGUCGUGGGGGAUAACGUCAGGAAACGGGCGCUAAUACAGCAUAAUAUCAGAUGAGCCUAGGUCGGAUUAGCUAGUGGGUGGGGUAAAGGCCUACCAAGGCGACGAUCCGUAACUGGUCUGAGAGGAUGAUGAGUCACACUGGAACUGAGACACGGUCCAGACUCCUACGGGAGGCAGCAGUGGGGAAUAGUGGAAAAUGGGCGAAAGCCUGAUCCAGCCAUGCCGCGUGUGUGAAGAAGGUCUUCGGAUUGUAAAGCACUUUAAGUUGGGAGGCGUUACCAACAGAAUAAGCACCGGCUAACUUCGUGCCAGCAGCCGCGGUAAUUC
rnacentral:rRNA from 1 species